GAUGAAGAACGCAGCGAAAUGCGAUAAGUAAUGUGAAUUGCAGAAUUCAGUGAAUCAUCGAGUCUUUGAACGCACAUUGCGCCCCCUGGUAUUCCGGGGGGCAUGCCUGUCCGAGCGUCAUUGCUGCCCUCAAGCACGGCUUGUGUGUUGGGUCGUCGUCCCCCUCCUAGGGGACGGGCCCGAAAGGCAGCGGCGGCACCGCGUCCGGUCCUCGAGCGUAUGGGGCUUCGUCACCCGCUCCGUAGGCCCGGCCGGCGCUUGCCGACGACCAUCAAUCUCUUUCUCCAGGUUGACCUCGGAUCAGGUAGGGAUACCCGCUGAACUUAAGCAUAUCAAUAAGCGGAGGA
rnacentral:misc_RNA from 1 species